CAGGCGAUCCUUGUGUCACUCUCUGCUCUUGCCCCAUAAAUAUGGAUCCAGGUCCGAAGGGGCACGGCCAUGGUGGAGGACAUGGUCAC